AUUUUCUACCCUCUUCAUCAGUUCUAACAUUUUACGUUGGCGCUGUGGGACGUUUAUGUAGUUAGCAAACCAAAGAAAGUUUUAUCAAAUGUUUAAGCAAUGUCUUUCUAGCUAUGCAAAUAGAGUUAACUUCUAAUCUCAAAUAAUUUAAAAAAUAAAAUAAAUAAUAAUGUCUUUGAAAGAGAGAUCCAACAUGCCUGAGCCCCGUAAGGUGGUAUCAUACUUUUUCUAUUUCAGUUUAGAGAUCAAUAAUUCUCGUUUGGACAAUUGAAAUUUUGACAGGCACAACAUAAUAUUGAAGAGGUUAUGCAAGAAAACUUUCACGUUUUUCCUUUUAGUAAUUUGUGCAACUCACAGUUGUACGUGAGACUAGUAUAUAUUACAUGGAGGGAAUAAUAAGAUAAAGAUAGGAGUAAGGAUAAUACAUUUUUGAGUGCUCCCGUCACGUCACCUGGAAUAUGUGACGGACCACUCUUAUUGGUCCCAACUUAGCAAAAGACAAACCGUUUCGAGAGCUUCUCUUUCUAAGUUUAGAGAGAGAAAAUAGAUCUGAAAAACCACCCCUCACUCCCUUUUAUCUCUUGCCCAGAUCAUGAUCCCUCCGGAUCUAGAUCGAUGGCUUGAGAUUUGGGGGCUUGCUUGCUCUCAAUUCAUCUCUCUUGAUUCUCUCAAACCCUCUGUGGUGGCUUUACACCAUUUCUGUGGUGAUUUACUGACUUAUGUUUAGAUUUAGAGGACUCAUGUCCUCCUUUCCUUGCCAACUAUCCCAAAAAAACAAAAUUUAAAUCCGGAAACCUCUAUGAUUCCCCUAACCCAUUACCUCACAUCAACUCCCCUUCAUCUACCAAAGACCUGCUCCUUGAAGAUUCUCAUGGCUACCACUUAAAAGUGAGAAACUCUUACCUAGAGGAUUAUGGGUGCUCAUGCAUGGGUGUUUCACCCCCUAUUCACCAUUAGAUUUUUUCUUUGCUAUUGGCUUCUAUCCCAUUUCGAUGGCUUCGGUUCCUUCCCGGAUUUAGUCUCUUUGGUGGAGAAGAGAAGAGAAAGUUAGUGUGACAGCGGCGGCUGUGCGAAUGGGUUGGGCGGCGGCUGUUGUAUUCUAGGAGAUGAUGUAUUAAUUAAGUUUUAGGAUUAUACUCUUUUGCCCUAUCCAUAUGGAUUUGGGUUGAGUUGUAAUUUUCCUUGUCUGGUUAAUUGUAUUUGGGCUCUUCCCAUUGGGUUGAUACCCUUUGGUUAUUUUUUUUU